UUUUGCAAGCCUCAUUCCUCAACCAACUCCUUCCCUCCUGCCAUCCACUCAAGCAGACCCUGAGGCCCCCCACUGAGUUCUCUCUCCAUGCCUUAUUGCUGCUGUGCUGCCUUCUCCAUCCCUGGCCCUGCAGGCCCCUCAUCUCCUGCAUUGCCUGCAAGCCCCUCACUGUUCUCAGCCACUUCUCAGCCUGUUUGCUGACCUCUCCUUCCUACUCCUCCUUGCACGUCCUCUCUGUCCUGCCCUCGUGUUCCUCACUGCCUGCUGCUUCCCCCCCUCUCACUAUAGCAAUAUAUGUAUUUAUUUAUUUAUCUCUGUACGUGUCUCAGUUUUUGUAUGUUGAGUGUACAGGCCCAGGGUGAAUGAAGAAUUCAAACCAUCCUGGAGAGACACAGGGUCAAGCAGCCUGGCAAGUACACAGGGCCACGAGGCAGACUGAUGGGACAAGCUGCAGCUCUUACCCUUGGGAGACUCACAUAACUUGUGAAAAUCGUGCGCACGGUACUGUGCCUGAAAAGGAUGCGUCAUCAUCUACAUUUAACAGUGGUAUCAGCAGAGAAAAUGGGAUGAAGCAUGCACUGAAGGCAUUUGAAGGAACAAUUUUUCAGCUGCUUUUCUCUAUGCCAGAUGAUUCUGUUGUUCAGUCCAUCUCUCCGGGUGGUGCUGUAAACAGGGAGUCACACAGAAGAAAAAGAUCUUUUCUGUCAGCCAUGCUGGGGGAACAAAAAAUGGGCUUUUCAGGAGAAUCCAGCUCCCUCAGCCAUUGCUUAUAAGACUUAUGUUCCAGCCCCUGGAAGUGAUGGAAAAGCAGAAGAGAUAAGACCUGUUCUAUAGAGGUAAGUCAUCACAAAUUUAUGUUCAUGCAAGCCAUAGCCAAACCAGGGAUAUUUUAGAAGGCUCUUCUGCCCCAAUGAAUCUGUCAUGAAGAAGACCAGACACACAAAGGACCGAUACAGCUGUCUUUGGAAGUGGAAUUUACAUCUCUGACUCAGAAGUGAGGUUUCAUAUGACAAUGACAUAGAGCAAAUAAGGAGAAAUUCUGAAGAACAGGGAGAGCCAGUUUAGGGGGCAGGACAGAAGCAUACUGGAGCUCAGCUUUGGUUUGUGUGAAUAUGUGUGUGUGUGAUAACCAGCGUAUCUCUCAAAUAACAGGCUGCCCAGAGUUGUUGGGGCUGCUCCAUCCCUGGAAGUGUUCAAGGCCAAGCAUUCAACGAGAUGGCUUUGAGAAACGUGGCCUAGCGGAAGGUGUCCCCACCCAUGGUAAGGGGGUUGGAACUAAAUGAUCUUUAAGGUCCCUUCCAACCCAAUCAGUUGAUGAUUGUGGAUUUAGCUAAAUGGAUUAUGCCCUACGUAAACCCGACAUCCACCAACUGAAAUAUCUUCUUAGUUGGGAGGGUUUGUAUUUUUUUCUUUCCUCAAGAUGGAAGGGAUGGUAGAACAACAAAAGGAGUUUGGUAGAACUCCAAAAGGGAGUUUUGUGAAUUAAAUAUUCUUUAAAUUUAUUCUGUCAGAUUUUUUUUUCCUCUAAAUGUGCAGAAGCAUACUGUGCAGUGCAUGGCAGCAUGACUGAGGGUGAGUCUGUUCAAGCACUGAUCUGCCACAACUCUGAAGAAACCAUAAUUAAAGUUACAAUAUUGCUUAACCAAGGGGAUAUACUGCUUGGUUUCCUGGUUUGUUUGCACAUCAAAAUCUACUUUUUGCUUAAAAGGGCCUACCUAAAGUCCCUUAAAUUUUGCCAAGCCUUGAAAUAUGCACAUACAGAAGUUGUACCUGGGAGCAAACACUUUGCAAAAAUACCUAAAAAUAAUCAUUUAGAUGUUUGAAGAAUUUUAUAUAGGACCAUGAUUUUUAAUG